rnacentral:rRNA from 1 species
GUCGAGGAUCUUCCGCAAUGCACGAAAGUGUGACGGAGCGACGCCGCGUGGGUGAUGAAGGCCUUCGGGUUGUAAAGCCCUGUCGACUGGGAAGAAUGGCGGGAGGUUAAUAGCCAUCUCGUCUGACGCUACCAGUAAAGGAAGCACCGGCUAAAUACGUGCCAGCAGCCGCGGUAAUACGUAUGGUGCGAACGUUGUUCGGAAUCACUGGGCAUAAAGAGCACGUAGGCGGUCGGGCAAGUCCAUUGUGAAAUCCCCCGGCUUAACCGGGGAACUGCAAUGGAUACUACUCGGCUGGAGUGCAGGAGGGGAGAGUGGAAUUCCUGGUGGAGCGGUGAAAUGCGUAGAUAUCAGGAGGAACGCCGGCGGCGAAAGCGACUCUCUGGUCUGCCACUGACGCUGAGGUGCGAAAGCUAGGGGAGCAAACGGGAUUAGAAACCCGGGUAGUCC